UAAUAGCACAGCGGCAGG
rnacentral:misc_RNA from 1 species